GCCCCUUCCUGUUAAAGUACACAGCCAUCUGAACGCGUGUGCGCGUGACCAGCCGCCGCCACACGCGACCGAAUCCGUAGAUUAUUUUCACCAAGUGACGCGAGACACUUAACGAACGGCAGGCUCAGUGUUGUUGGGCGUAAAAUGAAAUAAUCCCAUGACCUCUAACCUCCAGACAAACAGGACUUUGGGGGGCCCUCAUGUCGUAGGCGGUUUCAGAGCGUAGUGUCUCUGCAUCACUGAUCACAGUUUUAAUGGAAAUCAUGUGUGAGCGGCAGAAGAUCCAUGUCUUCCUGGGAGCUCCUCCCUCCUUUGGCCCAGGCUUGGUGUCUGAAGCUGGGCAGGAGAGUGAGGCUCCUCCCCCUGCUGGGUGGAGACACCUGGAGCUCACCUGGAGAGGUGGACGUCUGAGGCCUGCGACAGGUUCUGAUGAAGUGCGGGAAGAACGAGUGCGAACGAGCUCGGAUUACGAUGCCGUAAAGAUUCUGUGCUCCAAUCAUCGGGAACCUCCUGAGAUACUCGAGAGUCUUCAGGAUCAAUCAGGUCCUGAGAAGGAGGAUCAGUGUUUUGCUUCUGUUCAUGAGUAUCUGAACAGCUGCUUCCCUGACGCUCAACCUGAACCUGAACCUGAACCUGAACCUUCACAUCAUAAACCCACACCAGCACACCCUCCUCUGUGCACAGACACUCAGUUCCUCGCCACCUGGACACUGAGUCAGGCCUUAAUCCUGAGAGGCAGCCAAAACAUCCAAUUGGCACUUAGCCCAGAAAAAGCCCCGCCUCCUCAAACACCACCCAAACAAGCUAAGACCCCGCCCGCUGUCUCCUCCAGCACACCGGAGCUGUUCAGCCCCGUCACGCCGUCACCUGGAGCCUCUGCCGAGCUCUUCAGCCAAAUCUGCUUAACCCCGCCACGGGUCACAAAAGGGGGUGUCGUCCUGGAGGCCACUGCAGGGGGCGUGCUCUGCUCCCAGGAGGCGGAGACCACAACCAACCUCCACUCUCCCACCAAAUGCCCUAGUGUCAAGAAACCUCGCAAAUCCGAGGCGCCAACGAGCCGCGGCACGGCCGCGCUCCGCUGUUCCACCACUCCUCUGGUCCAGUGUCUCAAACCAGGGCCGAGGUUCUCGGUUCUGGUGGCCGUGGUUCAUCCCUGUCACCUGAAAGAGGUCAAGGUGAGGUCUGGUCCGUCCGCCGGGACAUUUGUCCCUCUGGCGUCCAUCGUGGUGACGGAUGAGUCGGACGUUGAGAUGAAGGUGGUUCUGUGGCGGCGGGCGGCGUUCUGGGCGUUGACCGUGAGUCCUGGAGACGUUCUGCUCAUCACGGGCCUGCAGGUGAACGAGGACAAGUGGAGAGGAGAGACUGUGCUGCAGUCCACCUUCAGCAGUAAACUGCUCAGCCUCGGACAGAUCACAGUGUCCACUUCACCACCAGCUCCUCAGCAGGUCGAUGCUCACUCUCUCAGUCGUCUGUGUUCAUUUCUCCGUGAGCGGCGUCCUCUGCUGGUGUCCGUGUGUCUCCGCCCUCCUCAGGACCUGAACCGCCUCCCUUACGCCACCCUGAGGUCACUGAGUGUCAACACACUGGUCCACGCACUGCUGCGAGUCACACACACACACCUGAGCACAGAGUGGCGUGGAGAGGCGGAGUCUCGCUGCAGGUCAGCAGUUCAACUGAAAGCUGUUGUGACUGUGGAGCAGCCCGGCGGACAGCAGGGGGCGCUGCUGCUGUGGGGAGCUGCUGUGGAGUGGCUGCCUCGCUUCAGUGCAGACAAAGUGGCCGUGUGGGACUUCCACUUCCUCCUGGUGAGGGACAGUUUAACCUCUGACCUCCUCGAGCUGCACUCCACCCCCUGGAGCUCCGCCCACCGGCUGGACCCCACUGACCGGCGUCUGCGGGACUUCCUCGCUCCUCGACACAGUCCUGCGGGAGAUGGCGUGGAGCUGGACGUGGACACGCUGCUGUCGCAGAAAUACAGCGGUGUGGUGGAGCUCAGAGUCCAGGUCGCCGCCUUUAGCUUCCAGAACUCUCCGUCCUCCCAGAAUGCACCUCGGCUGUUAAUGGACAGCUCCACGCCGCUGGACGGAGUCCUGGAGGCGCUGAGCGGAGACGCCACGUACGCCGGCUGCGGUCGCUGCUCCGCCGAGCUCAGCACCGACACCAACGGCAUCUACAGCCCCUGUUACCCGUGCCUGCCCCUCACUGGUGUACGCCGGUACUACAGGCCAGGUGUGCUGACUGUGAGUGGGCGGGGCUAUAGUCAGCUGUGUGUUCUGGCUCCUCCUGUUCCUCUACAGAAAAUCCUCGAAGCUCCACCCGAUAAACUCCACAGGAGCUCAGCUCCUGGCUCGCAGGUGAAGCUCAUCCAGGUGGCAGCAGAGAGGCUCCACGCCCUCCUCUCCCUCCCAAAGAAAACCUUCGUCAUCACCAUCAGGAGCCACUUCCUGUGCGACGAGAACAGCGCCCCCCUCAGUCAGGACUUCACGCUGCUUGACCUUCAGUUACCGACUGAUCGUAAAUAAUCAGUAAAACCUCAAGGUGACAGAACAAUGUUCUGUUUGUUUACAUCGGCAAGAACAAUGGUAAAUUCAUGACGUCAUCUUCUUGAUGGACACUGACACUUCAGCACAGGACGAAACAAACAAAGAUGUCUAUUUACUUCCUGUAUGUUGUUGACGUUGAAAUAAAAGGGCUGCCUCUGUCGUUUA